AACUUUCAGCAACGGAUCUCUUGGCUCUCGCAUCGAUGAAGAACGCAGCGAAAUGCGAUAAGUAAUGUGAAUUGCAGAAUUCAGUGAAUCAUCGAAUCUUUGAACGCACCUUGCACUCCUUGGUAUUCCGAGGAGUAUGCCUGUUUGAGUGUCAUGA
rnacentral:rRNA from 1 species